GGGGGCUCAGUGGUAGAGUGCUUGCCUUGCAUGCAUGAGGCCCUGGGUUCAAUUCCUCAGCACCA
rfam:Dipodomys ordii contig_16607, whole genome shotgun sequence.